UACGGAGGGGGCUAGCGUUGUUCGGAAUUACUGGGCGUAAAGCGCACGUAGGCGGCUUUGUAAGUUAGAGGUGAAAGCCCAGGGCUCAACCCUGGAAUUGCCUUUAAGACUGCAUCGCUAGAAUUGUGGAGAGGUAAGUGGAAUUCCGAGUGUAGAGGUGAAAUUCGUAGAUAUUCGGAAGAACACCAGUGGCGAAGGCGACUUACUGGACACAUAUUGACGCUGAGGCACGAAAGCGUGGGGAGCAAACAGG
rnacentral:rRNA from 1 species